rnacentral:rRNA from 1 species
UCGAGCACGCGCGUGUGGCAUAUCAAUAAGCGGAGGAAAAGAAACUAACAAGGAUUCCCUUAGUAACGGCGAGUGAAGCGGGAAGAGCUCAAAUUUGAAAUCUUCAAGGUUCUACCUUGACGAAUUGUAGUUUAUAGAAGUGUUUCUCUGUUAGUGGAGUGGCAAAAGUUCUUUGGAAUAGGACAUCAUAGAGGGUGAGAAUCCCGUAUUUGGUCAUUCCUCCUAGCGUUGUGAUACACUUUCAACGAGUCGGAUUGUUUGGGAAUGCAGUCCAAAAUGGGUGGUAAAUUUCAUCUAAAGCUAUAUAUUGGCGAGAGACCGAUAGCGAACAAGUACCGUGAGGGAAAGAUGAAAAGAACUUUGAAAAGAGAGUUAAACAGUACGUGAAAUUGUCAAAAGGGAAGCGUUUGACACCAGUGUUGUUUUUCCGAAAAUCAAUUACGAAUGUUUUAUUUUUGAGGAGUUAUGACUUCAUCGGCUUGCUCCUUUCUUUAUGAAACUUUCUUAAUGCACUUUUCGGUUAACAAGUCAACAUCAAUUUCUUUUGUUGUAAAAGGGUAUGAGGAAGGUGGCUUUCUUUUCGGAGAAAGUGUUUAUAGCCUUGUGCCUCUGCAAUCGGAGAGAUUGAGGUCUGCAGCGUAGAUCCCUUCGGGGUUAGAUACGUUUGUGCUAAGUUAUAGCUUUUCAUAGACAACUUGUUGACUAUGUUUAGUCUUGUAGCUUACUCGCUGACGCUAUUUUACCUACGCUUAGGAUGUUGAGUCAUCACACAUCUCU